UGCAAAGAAGGUAAACAAAAUUACGAACGUUUGAAAUUACGUAAGAUUUGGGUCUUGUCCACGUGGAUGUAAUGUUUUGCAUCCGGUUUUGUUUAGAGUUCGACUUCUGUAAGAUGUUAGGCUUAAAAAGUUCCACGUGCAUGUUAAAUAAAUGCAUAGAACACCCGGUAGAUUUAUGUUCCAGCAAUCGAUAAUUGGGUCGCAUCCCGUAGCUGCAUCUGCAGAAGUGGAUGAUUUAAGUUGCGGAUAGCGUCGAAUGUAAUCAUAUUUAUAAUAUAUUAGUGAUUGGUGAUUAUACUGUGGUACACCAGUUACUUGGUUCAACUUUCCGCUUUAUUCAGUUCAAUUAAUGAUCGUUCCUCAUUAUGUAUUUAUACUGAUUUAAUAAUUGGCCCAUAAGAGAAAUACAUACAUUUGAAGACAUCUAAAAGCAGUAGUUCGGAUUUUCUUUGUCAAAACUCUUUUAUUUCUUUCUUUUUUAAAUUUAUUUCUAUAUUUUUAACUUCAUUGAUUGUCAUAGUUCCAAAUUUAAUUUGCUCGCUUUGAACAACGAGAUGAUUGAUUUACGGAAAAUAUACUGUAGGUUCCUCCUUCGAGGAUACCACCAAUUUCUUUCCCUAGAUUGAUUCUCCAUUGGACAUAUAUUGGUACAAAUCGAUUGGACGAGGUAACAGCCAAUAGGCGGCCAUUUUUUUCCUCGAUAGAACUAAGGACGACUUCGGUCGAAGAUCCAGGCCUGUGAAUGGAAAUCUACCUGCGAUUUAUUACCUACAGGAAGAGGAUUCUCAAGAGCAACUCUGAGCGAGAGGAGGUCCUAAAGUUCAACACUGUUAAGAUCGAGGAGUAUGUUAGUUUCACUUUAAACCAAGUGCAAUUCCAGCUUAUUAACAAGACCCCUAUGCUGAUAAGGGAAAAGGCUCGCAGUGAUAAGAUUAAAAUAGACAAAGUGUUUGCGCGUUACCUUAAGUGUAGCAAGUGUAAAUCCCAAAAGAACAUUGAGUUGACGGUCGUUAUAGACGUUGAUAAAGACGUGAGAUUGGACCGCAGUAAAUUGACCGUUGAAGUAAGCAACAAAUGUCCUUUGGAUGUAAAAUUGAUAGAACUGGAAAUCAAGCAAGGAAAUUUGAAGAGGAACGUAAGGAAACGUUACUAAACUUGAAAGUGCUUCGUGUACACAAGUGUAACAACCAUGGGUCAUAAGAAACUUCAAUUGAAAUCGCCGACCCCUUUUCAAAUUACCAGUUUUCAACCAACCAAUGCUUUAACUUUUCUAGAAGAUCUCUUCUUCAACGAAGUUACAUCCAUUUCCCCAGUCAAUAAAGGCACAAUCCCACCCAAACCUUCAACAUUUAAACGACAAUUCGCUCAAGGAUCGCUGGUUAAAAGUAAACUUUGUGCGCAGUUUGAAAGGCAUUUAAGAAUUGCAUAAACAAUAUCGGUUGAACUAUAAUCGUUGAAUGAAAUUUUGACUUUCAAUUUGUUGCUUCAGUGUAAAACCCUUGUUCUUGCAUUACUUUGAAACAAAAUCUUACUUUUACCUUAAUAAGUGAACUGGAAAUUCUUCAUUAAGUGAACUAAAUCUACCUGACAAAGUGAACUAAAUCUACCUGACAACGUGAACUAAUUCUACCUGACUAAUUAAACAUCGGAAACAAUUAUAAACUUCCUCCGUAAACCAAUUAAAACUUGAACUUUAUAGCAACAAUUCAAACAUUUUAUUGAGAACUAAAUAAUAUUGCUGAGUUUAGUGAAAUUUCCCCUUGAACAUUGAAUCAAAGAUUUAAGAACUUAAGUACUUAAAAAAAGUGAAAUAUUGGACGCUACAUAUAGCAAUUAAAUAUUUCAGUGUACUUGGACCUAUUUCAGAAAGUUUGGAACAAAAUACUACAACUAUAAGGAAAUGAUGACAUAAAUUCAAGAUUGUUUUUAGAGACGAAAACUUCCCACCUGCCCCCCCAAAACAUCGUGAAAUCUUCUCAAAGAUCUAAUCCCUCCACUCUUAGAAUUCUACAAAGAUUCUACAGCGUCCCAAGAACUCACAUCGUCUUUAAAAGUUUCCAGUUUCUUCAGUAAAAAGCGUACUUUGUAUGUUCAAGAAAUUUGACAUUUGCUAAGACAUCAGUUUAAAAAUCAAAUAUGUUUGAAGAACUUAUAAACUUGGUUGUUAUUCAUUUCCGGAAUUGCCUAGGUCAAAUGUACGCCAUACUGGAUGUUAUAAAGCUCAUAUAUCAAGAAAUUUUCGAACUUAUUGGAGGUUUGAGACUGCUAUAAAUAUACGCACCGAUUUCUACUGACUAAUUGAGUAAACUAGAUCAUCGACAAAAUGUGGCACAGAUUACUAAAGAAAACCACCAAACUAUUAUCCGACACGUUGGAUUAUAUCGUGGAUUUUGUGGCCAACCAACAAAUUCAAAAUUGUGCAACAAGAUUUUACAUCUUCACCUACUGGACAUUAUCUUAAAAAAAAACAUCUUCAACCAUGUCCAAUUCACAAUGAAUUAUAAUCCCACCAGAUGAGAUGCGAAAUAUCAAAAUCUAUUUAAAAAAAUGAAUAUUUUUGAUAUCAUCUAAAUUUUUUUUGACUGAACAACGCUAUUUAAGAGACUGACGAUACAACUUAUUAAAGCUCAAAUAAGUGAUUAUUUACUGAAGAUUACCUGUGAGGAUUUUCAACGGUUAUAGGAUUAAUAUAACGACAAGAAAGUGAUGGAUAAGACUGAUAUCUAACGCAGCUUCAAGAGAGAAUUGCAGCUGGACUCUUCAGAACUAUAGUGCGGCACGUUUAGAUGGUUAAAGUAAGAACGAUCAUAAUUGUGCUUUGAAAAGAAGAAGAAAGAAAGACUCAUACAAAAUGAACUGCAGAUCUAUAUUGUUUUGCUUAAUAUUAGCAAUGUUCAUAAUUGAUCUUAAGAAUUGUUUAAAGAUUAUAGUAAAAAGGUGCUCAAAAGUAUUUAUAUCACAGUGCAAAGUGUUGGAAAUCACAGAAUUCUUGAUGCACCAUUUAAGAACAUGUGAUAUCAUUUUUGGGGACGGUUUGCCUCGAAACUUAUAAAUUUGAUCAAUUAAUGGUAUAAAGCUAAGAAAGCGUACUUUCAUAAAAAUUAUUUUUAUGUUCCACCGAAUCUUAUCAAAUGACAACAAACGAUUUUCUUCCAUAUAUUAUACAUAUCGGUGUAAAUUCAAUUGCGAAUAUAAAUGUUUGAACUAUGCAUUACAAUGUAUAGUGUCAUAUUUAUAAUGUUUGUGCUUGACUUAAUCAAGUGCUUGAUGAUUAUAUACAGCCUAAAAUGGACAUCAAAAAUGUUUAUCUUAGUGUGCAAAAUGUUGGAAGAGAUUGUUUCAUAUUUGAUGGAGCCAGUAAUAGAUGCUAGAGUAUACUAACAUGUAGAACUCUAUACUACAAAUUGAUAUUCAUAAUUGAUCAACCGCACAUCUUUCAGACAAAAAUUAAAUGUGCAUGAUUUUCUUGUAAUUUCAAUUAAAAAAAACAUAGUUAUAUCACGUAUUUACAAUGUUGGUCCAAUUUGUCAAGUGUGUAACAACCGUUUACAAGGUAAAAUGGUUUUCAAAUAUGUUCAUACUUCUGUUCAAAAUUCUAAAAGAGUUUAUUUCAUACUUAAUGGAAUUAACGAUGAACUAAAACCUAAAAUCUAGCUACCAGUCCAGCGUCAUGUGGUAUCUUGCUUAUACAAGCAGUGCCACGUGGCGCAUAAAAAUGCGUUUAAUAAUGUAAAAUCAAAAUUUAUAAUAACAUUGAAAAAUUCAUUUACAGUUAUCGUC